rnacentral:rRNA from 1 species
CCUACGGGUGGCUGCAGUGAGGAAUCUUGCGCAAUGGGCGAAAGCCUGACGCAGCGACGCCGCGUGACUGAUGAAGUCCUUCGGGAUGUAAAAGUCUUUUGCCAGGGAAGAAGGAUGUGACGGUACCUGGCGAAUAAGCCCCGGCUAACUACGUGCCAGCAGCCGCGGUAAUACGUAGGGGGCGAGCGUUGUCCGAAGUCACUGGGCGUAAAGCGCGCGUAGGCGGUCUUUUAAGUUGGAUGUGAAAUCCUGCGGCCCAACCGCAGAACUGCAUCCAAAACUGGGAGACUUGAGGAUGGAAGAGGGCAGUGGAAUUCCUGGUGUAGCGGUGAAAUGCGUAGAUAUCAGGAGGAACACCCGUGGCGAAGGCGGCUGCCUGGUCCAUAUCUGACGCUGAGGUGCGAAAGCCAGGGGAGCGAACGGGCUUAGAUACCCCAGUAGUC